rnacentral:rRNA from 1 species
ACAAGUACCCGUGAGGGAAAGUUGCAAAGAACUUUGAAGAGAGAGUUCAAGAGGGCGUGAAACCGAUUGGAAGCAAACAGUUAGACCAGACGUUAGCUUUUGGGAUUCAGCUUGUUGGAGCGAGUCUCCCUGUGGCAGUGCUCCGUUUGGACACAGCUGCGGGUAUGAGACCCGUUUCUCGGGUGCAUUUCCCAGGAGUGCGCGCCAAAGGCGGUGAAGUUGCUGUGUUGACCUUGGGUUGAAGACCCGGUUCUUCGGAACUGGGAACCUAGCUCAGGUGUUCAGUACGGUCGACUCUACCGUUCAUGAGAAUGCCCGCUCGGCUCGCUACUCGGGGCAUUGCGGCGGCAGAGUCGGGACCCCAGUCUCUGGACCCGGUUCGCUUGCUGCUGUGUUCAUCGGGGAUGCGAGUGGUAAUUCGGCUUUGGUGUAUUGUCUGUAACCUAACUGACCCGUCUUGAAACACGGACCAAGGAGUCUAACAUGUGCGCGAGUCAUUGGGUUGCUAAACCUAAAGGCGUAAUGAACGUGAAGGUAAGCUUGCUUGCUGAUAUGAGAUCCCUGAUUUUGAGUUGGGGCGCAUCAUAAUCCCUUCUCAUCUGCAUUGCCAGAGAGGAGGAGAUAGAGCGUACAUGCUGGGACCCGAAAGAUGGUGAACUAUGCCUGAGCAGGAUGAAGCCAGAGGAAACUCUGGUGGAGGUCCAUAGCGGUUCUGACGUGCAAAUCGAUCGUCAGACUUGGGUAUAGGGGCGAAAGACUAAUCGAACCAUCUAGUAGCUGGUUCCUUCCGAA